rnacentral:ncRNA from 1 species
CCAUCAAUAUCACUUGAUGACUCUAGGGCUAUGAAUAAAGAGCUAGCCUGACAAUGUAACAAGGGAAUUAAAUUCCGGGGUUGAAAUCGUGAGAAACCAACCCUCCUGGUAGUCACGAACCGGGUAAGUGC